AACUACGUUUAACGUCACCCGCGCGCGUAGGUUUAUGAGAAAUUCGUCUUUGAAAAAAACAAACAAUUCGGAAUUCCGUAUGUCUGUUCCGGUUUGGUUCUACAAUUAGCGACUGAAUUCUGCUUCCCGUAGUGACAGAAAAUGUGCUUUGAUAAAGGCAGUUCGUUUAUUAUUAAAUAAAACUAGUGAAUUAAAGAGUUUGGGACCAUAAAUGGAGAAGCUUACUGAAGAUAGGGCCUUUCAAGUGAAGGAGAGUAAGGAAAGAAGUUGGGGUAUUCCAAGACGUGAAGAAUCCUGUCUUUAGUGUGGAAUUCAAGAUAUUGAUCAACUAUUCCCACAAGAAGCAUUUACCUCCAGAGUACCAUGGACGUGUGGCAAUAUAAAUCCAAAGGACAACUGAGGCCUAGAUAAAAGCCACUUUCCUGCACAUUCAG